CAUUCAUCAGUUAGUUGAUGGAGUUUUUACACUGACCUUCAACUAUAUUGUAUAUACAUUUUACCAGAAGAGUCCAUUUCUUUAGACAUUUACACCAACAUUAAACUAUAAACCAUACAUUAUACCAGUAUAAUCAAUGACUUAAGUCAUUUACACUGACCUUAAAAGAUAUUAUAUAUAUAUAUAUAUUUUAUACUGGCAUGACCAGUAGAAUGCAUUGGUUUUUAUACGACCGCAAAAAAAUUUUGUGGUCGUAUAUUGGUAUGACGUUGGCGUCGUCGUCCGAAGACACCUUGGUUUUCGCACUCUAACUUUAGUUUAAGUGAAUGGAUCUUUUUGAAAUUUGACCAUAAGGUUAAAUACCACAAAAGGAAGGUUGGGAUUGAUUUUGGGGGUUAUGGUACCAACAGUUAAGGAAUUAGGGGCCAAAAAUAAGCAUUUUCUAGUUUCCAGACAAUAACUGUGGAACGGUGUAUGGAUCUCUCUGAAAUUAUACUACAAGUUUCCAUACCACAAAGGGAUGGUUAGGAUUUGCUUUGGGGGGUUAAUGCUCAAACCGUUUAGGAAUUAGGGGCAAAAAAGGGGGAAAAACAAGGUUGUCCUGGUUAAUGGACAAAUACUUUAGUACAAAACAUAAUUUAAAGCAGUGUAAGGCAGAUAAAUCAAAUACAUCAUUGAAAUUAUCUCCCUUACACUGCUUUUAAAUUAUGUAUAAAGUAAUGGUUAAUGAACAAUAAAGAUAAUUUAAAACAGUGUAAGGGAGGUAAUCCAAAUACAACGUUUUGGUUACUUCCCUUACACUGCUUUUAAAUUAUGUUUAAAGAAAUACAUAUUUAUAAAGGAAGACCAGUAAAAAUAUCUCCAAAUGUUACAUCUUUUUUUUUUACAAAAAAAUCCAUAUGAAAGAUUUGACACUAUAUUUUUAAUUCUAUUAUAAAAUAGAUUAAGUUAGCACUAUGGUAAAUUUAAAUGGGUAAUUAUGGUUGCCAACUCCAUUGGAAAUUUGAAUUGAGAUUAUGACCAUAUCUUGAGGGAAAGAAUUUUUUUGGGGAAAAAAGGGGGGGGGGAUAAAAAGAAAUUGUGGGGGGUCAAUUUUUUCUCAUUUCAGAUUUCAGAAAUUAAAAAGAAUUAUUCUUCAAAUAUUAUUUUUUUUUCAAAUUUCAAAUAUUGAAAAAUUUCAAGAAGUAAUCUUUAAUUGCACAGUAUUGCGCAUUAGAUUUGUAAAAUCUUUGAUCACAUUUAUUUAUUUGUUAUGCCGAAUCUAACAGUGUAUUUAGAUUUUUAAUUUUGGGUCCAGUUUUCAAAUUGGUCUACAUUAAGGUCCAAAGGGUCCAAAAUUAAACUUUGUUUGAUUUUAGCAAAAAUUGAAUAUAUGAGGUUCUUUGAUAUGCUGAAUCUAAACAUGUAUUUAGAUUUUUGAUUUUUGGCCCAGUUUUCAAGUUGGUCAAAAUUGGGGUCCAAAAUUAAAGUUUGUUUGAUUUCAACAAAAAUUGAAUAUAUGGGGUUCUUUGAUAUGCUGAAUCUAACCAUGUAUUUAGAUUUUUUAUUUGUGGACCCCGUUAUCAAAUUGGUUCAUAUUGAGGUCAAAAGGGUCCAAAAUUAAACUUUGUUUGAUUUCAUCUAAAAUUGAAUUAUUGGGGUUCUUUGAUAUUCCAAAUCUAACCGUGUAUUUAGAUUUUUAAUUUUGGGUCCUGUUUUUUAAAUUGGUCUACAUUAAGGUCCAAAGGGUCCAAAAUUAAACUUAGUUUGAUUUUAACAAAAAUUGAAUUCUUGGGGUUCUUUGAUAUGCUGAAUCUAAACAUGUGUUUAGAUUUUUGAUUAUGGGCCCAGUUUUCAAGUUGGUCCAAGAUAGGGUCCAGUAUUUAAACUUUGUUUGAUUUCAACAAAAAUUGAAUAUAUGGGGUUCUUUGAUAUGCUGAAUCUAAACAUGUAUUUAGAUUUUUGAUUAUGGGCCCAGUUUUCAAGUUGGUCCAAAUUGGGGUCCAAAAUUAAACUUUGUUUGAUUUCAACAAAAAUUGAAUAUAUGAGGUUCUUUGAUAUGCUGAAUCUAACCAUGUAUUUAGAUUUUUUUAUUUGUGGGCCCCGCUAUCAAAUUGGUUCAUAUUGAGGUCAAAAGGGUCUAAAAUUAAACUUUGUUUGAUUUCAUCAAAAAUUGAAUUAUUGGGGUUCUUUGAUAUGCCAAAUCUAACCGUGUUUUUAGAUUUUUAAUUUGGGUCCCAUUUUUAUACGACCGCAAAAAAAUUUUUGUGGUCGUAUAUUGGUAUGACGUUGGCGUCGUCGUCGUCGUCGUCGUCGUCCGGCGUCGUCCGAAGACACUUGGUUUUCGCACUCUAACUUUAGUUUAAGUGAAUGGAACUUUAUGAAAUUUUACCACAAGGUUCAAUACCACAAAAGGAAGGUUGGGAUUGAUUUUGGGGGUUAUGGUAAUAACAGUAAAGGAAUUAGGGGCCAAAAAUAAGCAUUUUUGUAACUUCCAGACAUAACUUGUGUGUUAGUGUAUGGAUCUCUCUGACAUUGUACCACAAGGUUCCAUAUCACUAAAGGAAUGCUGGGAUUGAUUUUGGGGGUAUUUGCCUCCAAAUUUUAGGAAUUAGGGGCCAAAAAAGGGGCAAAAAACAAGCAUUUUUCUAGUUUCAUGACAAUAACUUGUGUGUAAGUGUAUGGAUCUUUCUGAAAUUGUACUACAAGGUUCCAUAUCACAAAGGGAAAGCUGGGUUUGAGUUUGGGGGUAAUUGCCCUAAACAUUUAGGAAUUUGGGGCCAAAAAGGGGCCAAAAAACACAUUUUUUUCUAGUUUCCAGACAAUAACUUGUGUUCAAGUGUAUGGAUCUCUCUGAAAUUGUACUGCAAGGUACCAUACCACAAAGGGAAGGCUGGGAUUGAGUUUGGGGGUGAUGAAUCAUAAUGGGGGUUCAAAAAAUUUUGGGGGGGGAUUUAUUUUUUUUUCCUUUUUUUCUUUUUUUCCUUUUUUGUUUCUUUUAAAAUUUUCCAUUUUAAGUUGGUUAUUUCUGAUUUAUAUUUAAAAUCAAAUAAUAAUGAUAUGGUAGGAGAUACACACCAAACAGGAUGUGUAAAUUAUUAUAUAAUAAGUAUUGUGCAAUAGCAAGAAAUUUUCAAUUGCACAAUAUUGCACAAUAGCAAGAAAUCUUCAAUUGCACAGUAUUGCGCAAUAGCAAGAAAUCUUCAAUUGCACAGUAUUACGCAAUAGCAAGAAAUAUCCAAUAGCACAAUAUUGCGCAAUAGCAAGAAAUUGUCAAUUGUACAGUAUUGCGCAAUAGCAAGAAAUAUUUAAUAGCACAGGAUUGUGCAAAAGAAGAUACUUCCUAUAAAUUGCUUAUUUCUUGACCAAUUUCAAUGGGGUUUUAUUCUUGAUUUCAUGGGGUUCUUUAAUAUGCUGAAUCUAACCGUGUAUUUAGUUUUUGGAUUUUGGGCCCCGUUUUUAAAUUGGUCCACAUUGAGGUCCAAAGGGUCCAAAAUUAAACUUUGUUUGAUUUCAUCAAAAAUUGAAUUAUUGGGGUUCUUUGAUAUGCCGAAUCUAACUGUGUAUUUAGAUUCUUAAAUUUUGGUUCCGUUUUCAAAUUGGUCUACAUUAAGGUCCAAAGGGUCCAAAAUUAAACUUAGUUUGAUUUUAACAAAAAUUGAAUUCUUAGGGUUCUUUGAUAUGCUGAAUCUAAACAUGUAUUUAGAUUUUUGAUUAUGGGCCCAGUUUUCAAGUUGGUCCAAAUCGGGGUCCAAAAUUAAACUUUGUUUGAUUUCAACAAAAAUUGAAUAUAUGGGGUUCUUUGAUAUGCUGAAUCUAACCAUGUAUUUAGAUUUUUGAUUUUUGGGCCCCGUUAUCAACUUUGUCCACAUUGAGGUCAAAAGGGUCCAAAAUUAAACUUUGUUUGAUUUCAUCAAAAAUUGAAUUAUUGGGGUUCUUUGAUAUUCUAAAUCUAACCGUGUUUUUAGAUUUUUAAUUUUAAGUCCCGUUUUUUAAAUUGGUCUACAUUAAGGUCCAAAGGGUCCAAAAUUAAACUUAGUUUGAUUUUAGCAAAAAUUGAAUUAUUGGGGUUCUUUGAUAUGCUGAAUCUAAACAUGUGUUUAGAUUUUUGAUUAUGGGCCCAGUUUUCAAGUUUGUCCAAGUUGGGGUCCAAAAUAAAACUUUGUUUGAUUUCAACAAAAAUUGAAAAUAUGGGGUUCUUUGAUAUGCUGAAUCUAACCAUGUAUUUUGAUUUUGGACAUUGGACCAUAAUAGGUAAAUUAAAAAAAUUCAAGUUUUUAGACCACAUUCUUUCUGUGUCAGAAACCUAUGCUGUGUCAAAUAUUUAUUAUAACAAUCCAAAUUCAGAGCUGUAUCAAGCUUGAAUGUUGUGUCCAUACUUGCCCCAACUGUUCAGGGUUCGACCUCUGCGGUCAUAUCAAGCUGCGCCCCAGCGAAGCAUUUUAUUUAUAUUUGUUGUCGUAUAUUGGUAUGACGUUGGCAUCGUCGGCGUCGUUGUCGUCGUCCGAAGACACAUUGGUUUUCGCACUCUAACUUUAGUUUAAGUGAAUGGAUCUCUAUGAAAUUUUACCAUAAGGUUCAAUACAACAAAAGGAAGGUUGGGAUUGAUUUUGGGGGUUAUGGUAUUAACAGUUAAGGAAUUAGGGGCCAAAAAUAAGCAUUUUUGUAACUUCCAGACAUAAUUUGUGUGUUAGUGUAUGGAUCUCUCUGACAUUGUACCACAAGGUUCCAUAUCACAAAGGGAAUGCUGGGAUUGAUUUUGGGGGUAAUUGCCUCAAAAUUUUAGGAAUUAGGGGCAAAAAAGGGGCAAAAAACAAGCAUUUUUCUAGUUUCUCAAGUGUAUGGAUCUCUCUGAAAUUGUACUGCAAGGUACCAUACCACAAAGGGAAGGCUGGGAUUGAUUUUGGGGGAAAUUGCCUCAAAAUUUUAGGAAUUAGGAGCCAAAAAGGGGCAAAAACAAGCAUUUUUCUAGUUUCAGGACAAUAACUUGUGUGUAAGUGUAUGGAUCUUUAUGAAAUUGUACUACAGGGUUCCAUAUCACAAAGGGAAAGCUGGGUUUGAGUUUUGGGGUAAUUGCCCUAAACGUUUAGGAAUUUGGGGCCAAAAAGGGGCGAAAAAAACAAGCAUUUUUUCUAGUUUCCAGACAAUAACUUGUGUUCAAGUGUAUGGAUCUCUCUGAAAUUGUACUGCAAGGUACCAUACCACAAAGGGAAGGCUGGGAUUGAGUUUGGGGGUGAUGAAUCAUAAGGGGAUUCAAAAAAAAUUUUGGGGGGGGAUUUUUUUUUCCUUUUUUUCCUUUUUUUUUUUCUUUAAAAUUUUCCAUUUUAAAUUGGUUAUUUCUGAUUUAUAUAUAAAAGCAAAUAAUAAUGAUAUGGUUUGAAAAGGUAAAUUAAAAUUUUUUAAGUUCUUAGACCACAUUCAUUCUGUGUCAGAAACCUAUGCUGUGUCAAAUAUUUAAUCACAAUCCAAAUUCAGUGCUGUAUCAAGCUUGAAUGUUGUGUCCAUACUUGCCCCAACUGUCCAGGGUUCAACCUCUGCGGUCGUAUCAAGCUGCGCCCAGCGGAGCAUUUUAUUAUCAUUCAUACUGACAGAAACCUAUACAAACAAUAUACAUUGUACCAGCAUGACCAGAUAAAUACAUUGGUUCAAUUACCACACUGACAGAAAUCCAAAUACACACUGUACAUUGUACUAGCAUGACCAGUAAAUUACAUUGGUUCAGACAUUCACACUGACACAAACCUACAUACAUGGUACCAGCAUGAACAGUAAAUUACAUCGGUUCAGACAUUCACACUGACUCAAACCUACAUACAUGGUACCAGCAUGAUCAGUAAAUUACAUCGGUUCAGACAUUCACACUGAUGCAAACCUACAUACAGGGUACCAGCAUGAUCAGUAAAUUACAUCAGUUCAGACAUUCACACUGAUGCAAACCUACAUACAUGGUACCAACAUGAUCAGUAAAUAACAUUGGUUCAAUUAUCACACUGAUAGAAAUCUACAUGCACAGUAUAAAUUGUACCACCAUGACCAGUAAAUUACAUGUACAUUGGUUCAGACAUUCACAUUGACAGAAUCUUAUUUACACAAUGUACAUUGUACCAGCAUGAACAGUAAAUUACAUUGGCUCUCUUUUUAAACUGACUAAAAACAAGAAAAAUAACAUGGGUUAAAUUAUGUUACACUGACUUUUUGAUUCACAGUCUGAGAAGUCCUAAAUAAAAACAAAGGUGUAACAUUUCAUCAUGACAUUAAUUUUGUUGCAAGGUUUUCAUUAUUUUUAGAUGUAACACAUACAUGUUUAUCUACAUCAUAGAAAUCUUAUUUUACCCAAUGAUUAUUUAUCUUUCAAGUUUAUGUCAAUUGAAUUACAAGGAGGUUCUCAAAUGCUUUUAUUAUCUACAUCAUAUAAUGGUUUACCUACAUGUUAUAAACUAUUAUUGAUUAUUAUUUUAUGAUCAGAGAUAUAGGUGAUAUUAUGAUAUAUGUUAUAGACCAUCUGGUUACAUAUAGUAAUAGUAUAUGAUAUAAACAUAAAUAUGUAUUAUUAA